AAAAGUCACAGGAGCUGCACAAAAACUUUAGGAAAGCCUAGGGAAAACUAGGGGCAUUGCUAGGACCCCCCCGCCCCCCACUAUUGAGGAAGCCUGUAAGAGACACGUGUGGCCUGGGGACUGCAGUGUGCCUGCACAUGGGGCGUGGACAGUGGCAGACCAGCUCGAGCCCCACACCCCAUCAGCACCUUUCACCAGCUCAUUGAUGAGCGUGCGCAGAACCUAAACAAAGGAUCCUAAAGCCAGAGAGAAGAGGGCUAAGGUCGGGGGUCUGUGCAGAGACAGGGCACAGCUGGGAGCGGCACCAGAGCUUCUGACCACACAUUUUUGGGCGCUGGCCAGAGUGCAGUGUGGCCCUGGCCUGAUGAAUUUCUCUGCCCCUCUCAGAUCACAGCUUUCAAACAGUUUAAUUAAAACGGUGGCCAUUCUUUUUU
rnacentral:lncRNA from 1 species